UUGAGAGCGGCGUACGGGUGCGGAACACGUGUGCACUGCCUUUAUCUGGGGGAUAGCCUUUCGAAAGGAAGAUUAAUACCCCAUAAUAUGUUGAAUGGCAUCAUUCGACAUUGAAAACUCCGGUGGAUAGAGAUGGGCACGCGCAAGAUUAGAUAGUUGGUGAGGUAACGGCUCACCAAGUCUACGAUCUUUAGGGGGCCUGAGAGGGUGAUCCCCCACACUGGUACUGAGACACGGACCAGACUCCUACGGGAGGCAGCAGUGAGGAAUAUUGGACAAUGGGUGAGAGCCUGAUCCAGCCAUCCCGCGUGAAGGACGACUGCCCUAUGGGUUGUAAACUUCUUUUGUAUAGGGAUAAACCUACCCUCGUGAGGGUAGCUGAAGGUACUAUACGAAUAAGCACCGGCUAACUCCGUGCCAGCAGCCGCGGUAAUACGGAGGGUGCAAGCGUUAUCCGGAUUUAUUGGGUUUAAAGGGUCCGUAGGCGGAUCUGUAAGUCAGUGGUGAAAUCUCACAGUUAAUUGUGAAAUUGCAUUGAUACUGGAGGUCUUGAGUGUGUGAAGUAGUGGAAUAAGUAGUGUAACGGGUUGAAAAUUGGCU
rnacentral:rRNA from 1 species